rnacentral:rRNA from 1 species
CCUACGGGUGGCAGCAGUAGGGAAUUUUGCGCAAUGGGCGAAAGCCUGACGCAGCAACGCCGCGUGAUCGAGACGCCCUUCGGGGUGUAAAGACCUGUCAGUGGGGACGAAACUUGACGGUACCCACAGAGGAAGCACCGGCUAACUCCGUGCCAGCAGCCGCGGUAAUACGGGGGGUGCAAGCGUUGUCCGGAAUCAUUGGGCGUAAAGAGUUCGUAGGCGGCACGUAAAGUCUGGUGUGAAAGGCGGAGGCUCAACUUCUGUACGGCACUGGAUACUUGCGAGCUAGAAUGCGGUAGAGGUAAAGGGAAUUCCUGGUGUAGCGGUGAAAUGCGUAGAUAUCAGGAGGAACAUCAGUGGCGUAGGCGCUUUACUGGGCCGUAAUUGACGCUGAGGAACGAAAGCCAGGGUAGCAAAUGGGAUUAGAUACCCGGGUAGUC